rnacentral:rRNA from 1 species
UACGUAGGGUGCAAGCGUUAAUCGGAAUUACUGGGCGUAAAGCGUGCGCAGGCGGUUUUGUAAGUCUGUCGUGAAAUCCCCGGGCUCAACCUGGGAAUUGCGAUGGAGACUGCAAGGCUAGAAUCUGGCAGAGGGGGGUAGAAUUCCACGUGUAGCAGUGAAAUGCGUAGAGAUGUGGAGGAACACCGAUGGCGAAGGCAGCCCCCUGGGUCAAGAUUGACGCUCAUGCACGAAAGCGUUGGGAGCAAACAGG